AGUGAACGCUGGCGGUAGGCCUAACACAUGCAAGUCGAACGGCAGCACAGUAAGAGCUUGCUCUUACGGGUGGCGAGUGGCGGACGGGUGAGGAAUACAGCGGAAUCUACUUUUUCGUGGGGGAUAACGUAGGGAAACUUACGCUAAUACCGCAUACGACCUACGGGUGAAAGCAGGGGAUCUUCGGACCUUGCGCGAUUGAAUGAGCCGAUGUCGGAUUAGCGAGUUGGCGGGGUAAAGGCCCACCAAGGCGACGAUCCGUAGCUGGUCUGAGAGGAUGAUCAGCCACACUGGAACUGAGACACGGUCCAGACUCCUACGGGAGGCAGCAGUGGGGAAUAUUGGACAAUGGGCGCAAGCCUGAUCCAGCCAUACCGCGUGGGUGAAGAAGGCCUUCGGGUUGUAAAGCCCUUUUGUUGGGAAAGAAAAGCAGCAGGUUAAUACCCCGCUGUUCUGACGGUACCCAAAGAAUAAGCACCGGCUAACUUCGUG
rnacentral:rRNA from 1 species